GGAAUGUGAGCUUGAACAUAGCAUAGAUUUUAUGGUGUGAUUAGUUUUUCUUGUUGCCCAAUUAAGAAAACUACGUGCUUAUGAGAUGAGAUUUGGUGCCGAUGUGGUUAAGCGAGUUGAUUUUUUUUUUUUUGGUCAAACGAUAAGUUUUGUUAGAUUAGUCAUUGAUGGGGUUCGAACACACGCUAUCAUGUAAGGGCUCAACACAUUUUCAUCAUUGUGGUAAAGAGCCACUUGUGUUAAGCGAGUUGAUUAGGACUGUGUUUUUUUUUGUACAUGAGUUCGAAUUUUCAUUAUUAUAAGUUAAGAUUAGUUUAGAAUAUCACAUUGUUGGACAAAAACAAAGGAAGAUUUGAGUAAUCCAUUUGAAUUUUUGUUUAUUAAUUUUCUUUAAUUUAUUCGAUCUAAGAGCUGAAGAUUAAGAAAAGUAUAUGAAAGAUAAAAAUAAGUGUCUUUUAAUAUUAGUUUGUAUGAUCCUUAGAACCCAUGGUGUGUUCUUCCUCACAUGAUAAGAUCUUUGUCCAUAUCCUUUGUGUAGUAAAAUAUUGUAGAAGUGGGGUUGGGGUUGAUACGUUUGUAUUGUUUAUUGAGAGAAAAUAUACUCACUCCUGACAUUUGUGAUUCUCUACACCUUGUCUUGUUUUUAACUUUGAAAAAGAUUCACUUCUAUUCAAUUUUGAUAUUAUUUAUUGAUAAAUUUGAUCAUUUAUGAUAUAAUUUCUUUAAAUAGUCGAUUUUAUAUGUGGGGUAAGACGCCAUUUGUGUGUACAAUCAAAUUGACUUUCAGGUUAUAAGGACAAAGACGUCUCAUUAUCACAAUGAAUGAGACCACGUGGAUUGGAGAUUGGACUUACGUGCGACCCGAUAAUACCCUCAUAUAAUGCAGCCCGUUCAUUUGUGAGAGUGUCUGACCAUCUAGCUGGUCAGACUGCUCUACUCACAAUUCUGAAAUAAAAUUUAAUAGUUAAAACACCUGUUUCAUUGAAGCCAAACUUUUCCCCCUCUUAAUUCUACUUGAUUCAUUGAAAUAGUGCAAAAAAGAAUGUGCAAAUUCACUACCCUUUUUACCUAAACACAAAAACAGAAGAAAUGAAGUACUCAACAAAACCAUUCACUGCAGCCGAGAAAAGACAUUUUAUUUACUAGAAAGCCCAAUGAAACAUUACAAGAAGAGAUUUGGUUGAUCACGUGGCUCACCCUUGUCCCUUAAUAAGUGCCAGGUUUUCAGUUCAUAGCAACACGCAGCACCACUGUCUCAUUCGACACACACCUCGUGGACUUGUUGGAAGCUUUCGGUUAAGUUGCACUGAAACUCCCUCAACCUUUCCAUCCCAUGUCUCUCACCUUUUCUUUGUUUUGUUUUGUCUCCUCAUCUUUUACUUUUCUUUUGCUCAUUUUCGUUGAAGAAUAUAGCCCCACAUCGAAAACCUGACUGCAGUAAACACUAUUUAUUUUUGUUUUACCAGUAGUAGUAGUAGGCCGUUGAACCGUCUCUGAAACUUUAACGGUUUUCACUGGUACAUAAUUGAGAGGAGAGAGAUGAAGAUGAUUGAUGCAGAUCGUAUAUACAACCAUCAAUGGUAUGGACCCCUCUUUUGUCUGCCACCAUAUUUUGUUUCCAUCUUAUUGUUUAACUUCCCUCUUCUUCUUCUUCUUCAUUUCUUUGGAAAAUAUUUCAGGACCAAGCAGCUUUUCAUGGUGGAAAAACUGUAUCAUUUAUAAGAGAAAUAUAUACAUAUAUAUAUAUAUAUAGAGAGAGAGAGAGAGAGAGAGAGAGAGAGAGAGAGAGCUACACUUGUUUUCUUUGUCGGUUUUGAGUUGUUAUUUGGAGGUUGAAAUUAAUGGCUGGAAUGCUUCCUGGUGUGGAAUGCGCUCGGAGGAGACGAGUCCAUCAGAGCGGAGAGUCACCGUGCGUCGGCGGCAUCCAUGGCAGCACCAGGCGCUCUUCUUUCUGUUUGUAUGCUAGCAACCAUGAAUCUCACCACACCUCCACCUCUUCACUGGUAAUUCUAUCGCUCUCUGUGUUUUUCGCUCUCUCAUUUUCUUGGAAGCAUCCGAUUUUUCUUACCCUCGAAAAUGAAUGAAUCAAACAAGAAUCAAUCGAGGAAAAGAAGAAGAGAGCGCAGAAGGAGAAACGAGAAACUGGAGUGUGAAAAUCGCUGUCCUACCGAUUUAAAUUACAAGCAAAUAUAAUUUUCUCCUGUUGUAUAUGGAUUAUUUUUCAUGAUCAUUGUUUCAAUUUGCAUGUUUGAAUCAUUAAUAACAGUAUUAAUUUAUUGGACACAAUAGCAAAGAAGCAUACUGAACCAAGCAUACAUGGAUGAGAAGCUGGGAGUGGAAGCCAGAGAAGCCAAGGGGAGAUUAGAUGAAAGACUGAGAACACAAAGAAAACCACAACCCAAAAGGUAAUUAAUUUACCAAUAUGUGGUCCGGCUAUGAAACAAAUUGUUGCUGACACAUCAAUAAUGCCUCGAUAUCCAUGUUAUUGAUGCGUUCUUGACAAUAUCAAUGAAACAGUUGUUCCUUCAUGCACAUAAAAUUUCUUAACAAUAAUGGUUCUUGCACUAACAUACGCGACGGGAAUAAAUUUCCUCUCAUUCUUUUCUCCUUCUGCAAUACCUGUUUAUUUUUGUCUCUCGAUUUUCGAUAUGUUUUAACUAUGUGUUUUAUUAUAUUUGUGAUAAAUUUAGGCAUACUAAUGGUGGUAACAAGGGACUGAAAUGUGUGGAUGGAGGAGGAAGAUCAUCUGUCUUGCUUGGGGAGUUGCAGAAAGAAGUUUACGGAGCAAACAAGAGUAGUAGUAGUACAAGUGGGUCAAAGAAGUUCAGCUGGUCAAAGCUGACCUGGAAGUCAUCGGACCAGGAUGAGUGUGCAGUCUGCCUGGAGAGGCUCAGGCCAGGUGAGACCCUGGUGCACCUGCCCUGUGCCCAUAGGUUCCACUCUGGUUGCAUGGUUCCAUGGCUUCACAACAAUGCCCAUUGCCCCUGUUGCAGAAUGGAGAUUAUCUCCUAGUAAUUGUAUUGGUAAUUUGGUAAAUGCAAAUUGUAAAAUAUAGAUUGAGCUUGCAGUUGCAGUUGUAGAGUUGGUUUGAAGUUUGAACAAUUAACUUUGUGGUGCUAAUUGUUUGGUUACAAUAUGUUUUUGUUAAAGUGAAUAGUUGCCAAGUAGUCUUUGUGUGAGUAGAUAGUUUAUGCAAAUUUGUGGGAGAUUAUAAUUCCACACAUUAAUCUUGAUGUAGGACAAGAUAUGGGUCAAUUCCGACGAAAAAAUAUCAAGAAAAUAAAAUGUUUUAGAGUUUGGAAAGAAGAAUUAAAGUUGGGCUAUAUCAGAUUUAAUUAACAUCGCGACAGAAAAAGUAACAAGAAAUAUUAUCGUGCUAGAAUUGAGAGUAAUAUGUCCUUUUUGAAGAGAAUGCAAGAAGAACAAGACUCAUGGUUAUAAUAUGAGCCCGUCAUGUUUACGGCCAUUCGAGGUUGUUUAAACUCCCAAAACAACAUUUUUAAAGUCUAAUAAAACAACCUUUCAUGUCGUUUAAUUUACUAAGACCCUGAGCUUCCCGAGGGGUUGUGUUUGUGUCUUUUUAAGUCGUUUGGCUCCUAAUGUAAUGUAUCAAUUCAAAAAAUAAUCAAACAACCUUUCGAUUUUAUCCAUCUAUGAUGGAUUCCAAAAACCUUGGUUCUUCAAGAUUUACGUUUGUAAUCCUUAUAUGCUCGUGUUGCGUCAAAUCUCUUCCACAUCUUUCGGGAAAAUGCUUGACUAGUUAUAUGUAGCGUUUCUCAUAACAAACAAAUCUCAAUCUGACUUUUAUAAACGAACUUUUUCAGUUUUUAUUUUUGCAAGUCACUUUAGUAUAUGUGAUAGUCUACAUAAGGAAUAACUCUUUAAUUAUUGUAAAGAGUUAAACAUUAUUCCAAAAUUCUCAAUGAUUUCCAAAUUAUUGAACCAACAUGUGAUCUCCAAUACAAAAUUUUAAGAGGUGCAAUCCCUUUUGUGAAUGAAUGUAAUUGCACUACAUAUCACUAUCCAUCCAUCCAACCUCCCCACCUUGAAAUUGAAUAUCAGAUGAGAGAAAAGGCUCCACUCAUGUGACGGGUGGGACAAGAACAGGUGAAUUAUAGGACAGUCUUUGCUGUCUUGGUCGACCUUUCUCUUGUUUAGUGGAAAUCAUUUGUUCUUGCACUAAUCAAAUGUUAAUACCAAUCUUCGCUUCCAAUUAAGGGAGAUCAUGGUGAGAUCAUAACAACUUAAGUCGCGAAAAAGAUGGGCAGUAGUGGAUCCAUGAGUUUUUCGUUAAUAAGUGAGGUCAUAAAAGUUUGGUGCGGUGUUCUUACUUAAGUAUUUUUUUGGUGGGUUUUUUUGGUGCGGUGUCGCUUGAGCCUUCAGAGACUGAGGAACGAGGAUGGAAAUUGAGUGACGUGAGUGAAUUUGGGUGAAAUAGAGGAUAAGGGAAGCGUACUGAAUGGGACACAAACGCAAACCUAAGAAUAGAAAAGCUAGAAUUCACUAGAGAUUGGGAUAAACCCGAAAGAUUUUUUGUUCAUUUAUGAAUCAAUACAUUACACUGGGAGCCAAAUGGCUUAAAUAGACUUAAUUUGACUUUGGGAAGUUCGUAUCAAACCUUGUGAAGUUCAUAGAAAGUCUAAUGAAAUACAAAAAUAUUGAUUAGAUUGAAAAAUGAAAAGUCUGAUUUUAUUACCAACUUUAAAAUGCUGUUUUGGAAGCUGAAACGACAUCAGAUGGUUAAAAUCUGUUAAGGAAUUUUCAAACCUUGUGAAGUUCAUAUCUUGUCCUACAUCAAGGUUUUGGAUAAAAAUAAGAUUUGCAGCCUUGCUUCAUCCUGUUUUGUUUAGCUGUUGAGUUGGCAAAAUCCGAGUCAUUUUCAUUAAACAAGUUUGCCAUAAAAAUGGAGUAACAAGUUAAGACUAAACCAGAUAAAAGAUUCGGUUCUCUCAAACAAGACCGAAAAAAUAUCAAUAAAAUAUAUUCUAUGCUUUGAAGGUGGAAUGUCAUUUUCUCCUAUAAAAAUGAAGCAUGCUAACUUGGAUUUUAUCCUAAUUUGGGUAAAAUCUUCUUCUUUUCCUACCCUAAUCCUUGUUUUUGUGUCACGACUGGCUAGCUGGAGGUCACUAAAGAAUGGACCCAAUUUAGCUAAUUUAUCUUUGUCUUGAUUAUAUAGAUGGAUAAAUGAUUAGGCAAGGAUUGAUAAACUUUGAUUAAUUAUUCGUUGAUUGAUUGGAGUGACGCAAGAGUCCAAAACUUUUCAAAGUUUUCAAUGUGAUGUGUGACUAAGACAUAACUCGGAAAGGAUGAGCGGCACGAAUAAGGUUUCUUUAUGUCCAAUCAAGACAAUGUCGCGAUCGAAAUUGAGCCGAAAUUACAAGCAGUAUAAAUUUUGAAAAUUAUACAAGUUUUACAGUGUAGGGUUACUAUGUGAAGAAAAAAAAACCACGCUUUUAUAAAACUUUAUUUUUCAGCCCACUCCAGUUUACUGUUUUGUAUUCCUUCAAGUUUUAGUACAUAUUUCCUGGUGCGACAAGAGUUUGUGGCGGUUUUGACGAUCUUGACACAAUGUGGGAAUUCAUAUUUUUUUAUUUUAUAUAUAUCCAUCUUGUGUGGGAUGAGAAUUUAGUCUUACUUCUUGACCAUUUAUCUAUGCUCUGACACUCUCGUAUGUAUAAAUAGGUUCAUAAAAGAAAAUCAAUAAAAAAUAAAAAUAAAAAUAAAAACUUUUGCCAAGGGGAAGGCAGCGAACGACGCCGUUCGGUGGACCAAUUAUUUUCAUUAUUUUGGCACCUUUGCGAAUUUUACCAUUUUAGACUCUUCCCGCAACGGCUAGUUUCCUAGUGACCGUUUUCCCGUCUCCCAAAUUUCAAAUCUGCAAUCGACCUUCAACCCACCAUUAAUCUUCUUCACAUACCGCAACUCCCAGAAAUCUCCUUUCACUUUUCGAAAAACACCCGCAAAACCAAAUCCAAAUCCAAGGCUCUGGCAACUUGUCGAAUUCGAUCUCCGUUAAACCCACUUGGCAAUUCAAAUCAAGGACCCAGAAUUUCAAAAAUGGUAUAUUCAUACGCGCCCGCGUACUACUCCACAAUCCACGACUCCAUGACCUCCCUGUGCAAGUCCAUUCUUCCCUUCAGCUUCAAGAAGCGGCGGUUGCCUGCGGCGGAGCAGAGGCUUUCGAAGCUGCAGUCGGAUAACCUCAAGUGGCAGCAGGACUCUUUCCACCAGAUUCUGAACUUGAUGGGUCUUCACAAAGAAGGCAUCUUGGCUGAGACCGAGGUGUCCGCUUUCCGAUUGCAUUUGCUCGAAACCCUCAUUGCCUCUCAGGUGGCGGAGCACGAACAGCCGGUUAUUCUGAGAGACAAGUUGCUGUUCUUGCAGGUAAAAUGCCAGUCUGCAAUCUCAACUCUUUCCUUUUUUUUUUCAUUUCGAUUGGAUUUUCUUUCUUGGUUUUCUGAGUAACCAAGCAAUGUUUAGGAGCUCUUGUAUGCGAAAUGCAUAUCGGAAGACGAGUACCAUUCUUCGAAAAGGCCGUUGCUGCAGCGAUUAGAGGCACAGGGAGCUGAGAUCGAGGCCAAAGAUAUAAUCGCUUCAGGGUCGCUGCCAGCGAAGGAUCCGAAAGAGAAUACAGAUCAAGAGCAGUGGUCGGAAAUUGACUUGAAGGAUGAGAAAUGCUUGCUAACGAAAGAUAAAGAGGGUUUGAAUUCGAAGAACAAAUCGAAACACAGCUCGGCAGUGAAACAAAUCAAAGGGGCAGCUUCGGUGUUGGGAUUUGUAUCACCUUACAAACAUGGGAAAAACAGGGGAGAAAAGAGCAUAUUCGAUUUGCCUGAUUCGUCAAAAUUCUCUUCUUCCAGCUCUUCUAAGCAUCAAGCAGGAGAUCAAUCGUCGAUUCUUAUGCCGGAAAGCUUGCCACAGGUGCCGGUGAAAGAGAACGGCAGCGCAGAUCGAACAAGGAGGAAACCGUUUAGGAGUCUGUUUCAGAGAGAACAGAAAGAGGGUCAGGGGGAUCAUGCCCACGAAAAUGAACAAACACCUUCGAAAUCGGCCAAAAAGCAAUGGGGUUUUGAUGGAUUCAAGAAAUGGAAGAGGAAUGAGUCGGAGGACGAGACAACUCCGCUGCCGCUAAACGAACGAUCGGAUAGUGAGGCUCACUUGAAGCUUGUUCCAAUCCCCAUGGGUGAAGGGCCAGACACUAAGCUCAUAAAAAGGAGGCUGCUUUCGGAUGGUUCUCCUUCCGAUUUCUUCAUUGACAAGGUUCAAAACCGUAUGAUUUAAUUUCGUAAUUUGCUGGCUUAUAUUUGAAGCAUGAUCCGAAAUUGAAGGUUGUUUUUUUUCUUAUUUUUGUAUGAUCUGAAGGUUUUAGGGGAGAAGAUAAAGAAGGAGCUGUCAAGAAUUCAGUCAGAGCUUUGCGCUUCAAAUCCAAAUCUUCGAUUUACGUAAGCCUUUUGAUGAGUCUUUCUUACAUAUACAUUGGUAUCGAAAAGCAAUCUUUUUGUAUCGAAAACAUACGAGUUUGAUUCUUGUGAUUUGCUCAGGAAUGAACAAAUUGAAGCUAUUUCGACCAGGCUUCCGGUGGACAAGGCUGAUCUGAAGAAGUUCUUUCCCAAGUGAGCAAAUCUUCUCUAACUAAAACCACCGCCCCCUUGUACUUUCUCUCUUAUUUUUCAUUGGAUUUUUGUUUCGUUUUCAGGUCGUGGUGCGAUCGGUAUGGAGAAGUUGUUCUGGACGUGGUGAGGAAAGAGUUCAAGGAGCAUGUUGGGGAGAUGGAGAGCUUGAGAAAUGCGGCAAGAGAGAAACACGGUAUCCACUCAGCGCGAUGGACUGCAUUCCAAGAUGACGAGGAGAAUUGUCACCCGAAUCUCUUUGCUCCGCCGCGAGACAACAACCACAAUUAUACUUCAAAGUUCCAUGAAACCAAUCCGUUCUGUGAUGAUCACAUUCACACCACCCCUAGGAAGCUGAGAUCGAAACCGGCAACUUAUACACAAGAGCAGAACCAGAACCAGAAUCCCUUUUGGAUCCCGGGCACGGCUACUAAUGCGUUUUCGUUGAGUAGCUGCUUAAUAUGUAUUUUGAUUGAGAGAUCGCUUGAUAUGUUGUAUGAACUUUGAGAGAAGAACGCUGUUCUUCCAAGCAUUCAAACUUUAUGUUUGAUUUGUAAAUGUAGGCAAUGUAUUAUCUCCUUCAAUGUUUCGGAACUCGAUUCGCUCCUUGAUUUUUAUUUUCUUAGUUCUUCUCACUCACUAUUUGAAAUCCUCUAAAGGGCCUUCAUGCAAAUAUCCAACACGCGUGUAAUACAAGAAACAAAUCAAUCGAAACAUACGACAUGAUCAUCAGGAGUUGGGGUUACUUGCGAUGCAGGUAAAGUGGUCGAAUUGGAUUGGAAAUCAAGUUAAAAAUCGCAAAUUCGGCAGCAAGAGGAAUUUUUUGCAGACACCUGAACCCCGAGUCGUCCUAACCAGAGACUAUACCUUGACAACAAAACUAGCAAGAUUUAUUCAAGACAUUCAAGUAAAGGCAAAGGAAUCUGCAAGCUUUUGAGCAAAAUGGAAGGUCCGUUACCAAUAAUUCCAGCAAGAAACCCACUAUGUGAAAAAGAUAAAAGAAAAAGCAGAUAACGCUUCACCCCAGUCGUGAAAAGCAAUCAUGCUUAUACACCUUGGGGCGGAUUAAAAGAACUUUACAACAUUACAAAGAACUUAAAGACAUUAUAGCUAUCCUUGGGUUUCAAUCCCUAAAGAACUUCAAGACGUUAUAGCUAUCCUUGGGUUUCAAUGCUCACUGGUCCCCUCGCUCUUAACAAUUAACAAUCUAACUUACUAACGCUAUCGUUUGUCUAAAAAUAAAAGCCAAAAAUACAUAACCAAAAAACACACUAUAAGAUCCCACAUCGCCCACACAGUGAUCCUUAAAUGUAUAUUCUCAUCCCUAUCUAGCACGAGACAUUUUGGGAGCUCACUAGAUUCGGGUUCCGUAGGAACUCCAAAGUUAAGCGAGAAGGAAGCUAGAGCACUCCCAGGAUGGGUGACUCACUGGGAAGUUGCUCGUGUGUUCCCAGAAGGCGUGGUCGGGACCCAAAGCGGACAAUAUCGUACUACGGUGGUGGAGCGGACCUAGGAAGUGGUCCGCCCCGGGCCGGGAUGUGACAAACACCAAGGUAAAAAGGGAAAAUACUGAAAGAAAAAAAAACGAAAAUCCCAGGGUUUGCUAUGUUUGAAGCCUCUUUGUUGAGAUGAAGAUGCCAAUUCAUGCACAUUGAUAUGUAAGUAUCUCGUUCUUUCAAUCACUAUAAAUCCGCAUCAAGGACGGCAGACGCUACAAUAUCGUGGAUUUCGGAAAAAUUCAGAUACAAGUCAGUCUUGGGGGACCAAAACAUGUCCUGGUAGAUGCGAAGAACCAUCUUUAACUAUAUACAUUACUGUGUAGUAUGUACAAUUAAAUCAAAGAGAAGAUAUCUCCGAGUUAGGGACAGAACAGUCGGUGAAACCCUCACGAACAUCUCCUCGGCAAAGCGGGCAAACUCUGUAAGCAGGAAUGAACAGAGAGAAUUUCGGUGAGAAAAAAUACAUGGGGAAAUGAAGGACAAUCAUGAAGGGGGGAAAAACAGAGGAUGGCAAUGACAAUACCCGUGUAUCUCUUUGAGCCACUUAUCAACGCAUGACAUGUGAUACUCGUGAUGGCAGGGAAGAACUCGAAUUUUGUCUCCUUCCUCAUACUCAGCGAGGCAUAUGUAACACCUAUCAAUUAUUAACUCACCAUGAUCAAACAAAUUCAUUAUGCUCCCUACUGAUGAAAUCAUUUAAGUAAAACUUACUGUUCAACAUCAUCCCCGGACUUUGGUUUGUCAACCUUUGUGUGACUUUUAAGAGGAAAACCAUCAACAAGAGAUGCUGGGGCAGGAGCUGAGACCAUCGACAGUGAAAGUGACACAGGUUGGCGGUGAAUCUCAUCCAAAACCUGCACAUCGCACAUUACAACAAAAUUAGGUUUGAUACAUUCAUAAGGUACACAGUAAUCUGUUGUGUAAUAUCUGCCCCUAAGCUUAACCGUCAAACAUAGAUAAAAACUGCGCAAACCAUAUCACAGCCGUUCAACCUAGAUUGGUAAACAUGCAGCCAAAGCCCUCAAAGAGACCUCAAGAAGAAGAAUAUACUAAAAUCAUCGCUGAUUUAAUUACGUUGCUUAAAUACCCUCCUAACUUAAGACAUAUGCAAGAGUGCAGAAAGAAAAUUACCUCAAAUAGAGCUUCGGCGAGCAUGACAAUUCUUGAUAUACUUGCCCGAGUACUAGACUCUUCAGCCAUCAAGAAUGAGCCACAUGAGCACAUGCCACGAGGGUGGAUUCCUGUGGGACAAGAGGUAUUACGCUGGCCAUUAUCAUCAAGGCCAACACGAAGUCUUUCCCAGACCUACAAAGAGUCAUGCAGAUGCAAAUCAAUGAAAAUUACUAGUGGGACCCCAAAAAAUAAAGCUGCUAUAGUUUACGGAUUUCUCCGGCCCGUAAAACAUCUGGAUAUAACACUUCAUAAAGUAUAAAAGAACCUUUGAUGAAUGAUAUAUUUGUAAACCAUGUAAAUGAACAUACACAUAUACAAAAUACAGUUAAGCCCCCAUACUCUCGCAAAUGAAAAAACUCAAUUUUAAGAUCCAAGUUAAGCCACGUGACUGAAACAUCAUAAUAUUUUUUAAUGUUAAAAUCUAUCACCUCAGAUCUAGAAUGUCGCCGUCGUUCACUCGAGUUGGGAAUUCUAUUAGCCCGGUGACCAGAAUCAACUCCAAUUUCAUCAUCAAAGAAAUCACCACUCAAACCAAGCAGCCAUCUGUCAUGAAAUCCCAUAUCCUCGGUAUCAUCAGUAGAGAAAAGAAUGGUUGGUGAAUCAAUAAACCUCCUGGAGCUGCGCCUUGAAAAUGCAUCCCAGAACAGUCGCCUGCCAUUCCUUCUAGCCUCACGAUUACUUGCAUCAGCAUUGCUACUCCUCAAAAAGUUGGAAGAAAUGCUCAUAACAUCAACAUGAAGUACACUUCCAUCUUCCUGGCCUUGUUCCCUAUUGGACACAAGGAAUCCUAAACCAGAAGGUAUUGCCUCCCGAAGGGAAUCAUUUCCAAGUGAGUCGAAAGUCGACGGAGUUUCAGAAACAUUAGCAGAAUCAGUAUCAGCAUUAAAACCCUGUACACCCCUUACGUCAGCCACAUGAUUCUCAACAGACACUUCCUGAGAACGGGAAUUCCGAAUCCCUUGUGGAGAUGAGCUACUUGGAAGCAUAACCUCGGGACAGGUCUCAGAUACAUUCUUGUCUGCUGAAAUGUCAAUGCCAUUGACUGAAUCCACAUUAGCAGAACCAUUCAAAGAGACUGUUUCUGAAGAUUGUUCUUGUCUAAACGAAGUACUAGCGGUAGUACUAUUAUCCCUACAAGAUUGAUCAUGACUAUAAUCGGCACUUACCUGAUGAGGUAUUAGUUCUUUACUUUUGGACAAGCACUUCCCCCGGUUAAUUGUGUCAACACUGCUUAAUCCUUCUUCAACAGUGCUCUCAGAUGAUGAUCCAAUUUCAAUAAUGGGGCAGGUGAACAGUGGUCCACUACUGGAGACCAACGAGGAUCCUUCUCCAGAGUUCCGGACUUGAUUGAUAUCAAGAUCAGAUUGCUCUGCAUAUUUUACACGACACUCAGGUGCGUGAUCUUCCAUCUGCAGGAAAAGUACUGAAGCAAAUCAGUCUCCUUAUGCAAUCUAUAUGACUAUAACUACCAAGUACAAAAUGAUUCACGAAAUUUGAAGGGUAUUGGUAGAAAAGGUCAAAAAACACUAUCAAGGCAUGAAGCAAAUCAGUCUCCAUAUGCAAGCUAUAUGACCAUAACUACCAGGUACAAAAUGAUUCACGAAAUUUGAAGGGUAUUGGUAGAAAAGGUCAAAAUACACUAUCAAGGCAUGAAGCAAAUCCGUCUCCUUAUGCAAUCUAUAUGACUAUAACUACCAGGUACAAAAUGAUUCACGAAAUUUGAAGGGUAUUGGUAGAAAAGGUCAAAAUACACUAUCAAGGCAUGAAGCAAAUCAGUCUCCUUAUGUAAUCUAUAUGACUAUAACUACCAAGUACAAAAUGAUUCACGAAAUUUGUAGGGUAUUGGUAGAAAAGGUCAAAAUACACUAUCAAGGCAUCAAUACAACUACGUAACACCACAGUUCUUUGGCCACCAAAAAAGGUAUUAAACUUACGUUUCUAUACUGUCCAUCAUAAGAGAUGUGCAUUUACUCCCAAAUGAACACAAGUAACACAAGAAUAAAUAACUUCAGUUAUACGCUAAAUAGACUAAUGCUAGGUAUCUCAACUUCAAACCAACACCAAGCAAAAUUUCUGCUUCAUGACUUCAUGGAAAUAAUAUAUUGAGGUUGUCAUCACAAGUGCAUCGCAAAGCACUAAAUAAAAACAACUGCAAUCAUUUGAUAUCUAAUUACAUGCCUCUACUUCUCCAGAAGAUUCCUAAUACGUUCGUCAUGAGGACUCCCAUGAACAAUAAUAGACUUGCACACAAUUAUAUACUUAUAUUCUAGCAAAAUAUCUUUACUCAUCCAAACUUUUCUAAAUCUUCCCUAUCUCCCGAGAAUGGGGGCAUAUAUACACAGAAACAUUUUUACCAACCACUUCACACUACUACAUCAGCAGCAUGAUUGAUUCCCAGCUCAAGAACAUAAGUUGCGCUAAAGACUACGUGAUCAUUUAUCCGCACCAUUAAGAACCUUGACCUUCAAGUUCUACGAUCGUAAUCAAACUUUCUCCAACCAUUUCCCUGAGCAUCCUACCAACCACUCAUCGGGGAUCAUCAUUAAAGUUCAUAUUCAAAAACACUAAAAAAUCAAACAACAUAGUUCAGACCCCGAAAACAAAGUUAAAUCCUUUUUCCUCAUUCACGAUUGUUAUACUGGACUUGAACAAAUGUAUACAUUAAAACAAACAUAACUCGAACUGUCAAUUCAAUGUCCCCAUUAAUUAAAUCCCCAAACUUUUUUCAACAACACGGUCGCAUAAUUAGCAGUUUUAAAAUAUGAAUACAAUAUUCACAAUUGCAGGGAAAUUAUAACGAAAAUUCAAAGUAACUGAGUCAUUAUGAUAUUACCGAGCACAGGGCCAAUCUUCUGCAUCAGCUGGACAAAUCCCAUAGAUUUUUAUUGGAUUGUAACUUGAAUUGAGGAAAAUCAAACCCCCAAGAAAAUUAAUUUAAUGAAAAAAGCUUAAAAUUCUUCUAAUUUGCACCAAAUGAUCAAAUCCCAAAUCAUCCAAAACCAGUAAAAAUCGAAUUUUGCAUCAAAAAAUGUAAAAAGUAUGAGAAAUCCAAAAAUGGGCAUUGACGAUUGAAUUGAAGGCAUCGAUUUUAGUGGAGGACGAUGAAGAAGAAGAAGAAAAGGGUACCUCGUGAGUAGCACGUGCAGAGGAGCCACCACAGACGAAAGAGGAGAGUAUGGAACGACUGGCGGUGCGAUUGACUCGGGGCCGAGAUGGGCGCGAGCCCAGUCGACUGCUGCUCGAACCCAUUUGAGAGAGAGAGAGAGGAAGGAGAGAGAGAGAGAGAGAGAGAGAGAGAGAGAGCGCUUCAGAGAUGGUGAUGAAUGAUGAUAAUUGAAGCAAACCGGCUGAGAGAGAGAGAGCUUUCCAUUUUUCCUUUUUUAUUUCAAAUUCAAUUUUCAUUGUGAACUAAUGGUUUCUACAGUGGACCAGGCUUGACCGACCCAUCAAAUAUAUGGGUCUGGAUCAUCAAGUUUCGGCCCAAUGUAUUCAGUAAAAAACAAAGCUAAGAGCAACUCCAUAUUUAAAAAAUGAGAUGACUCAAAGUCCAUUUAAUCCACCAAAAUGAAUAGUAAUUGACUUUAAUGAACAAUAAUUGUCCAAGUGCAUCAAUUCCUAAAAAAUGAGCUGGGUAAGAGUUUAGUCAAUUCGUAUUAAAAUAUUAUUAAUUUUUUUUAUAAAAAAUUAAAAAAUAAUUUUAUUUUUAAUUUCGGAUAGAAUUUUUAACCUCUUGUCACGUUACGUGUCAUUUUCCGAAAGUACAAUUUUUGUGAAAGAUGGUUAGGUAUAUAUAUAUAUGUAUAUAAUCUUUUAUUUUUUUCUGUAUUUUUAAACAAAUUUUUAUAAUUUUUUAUUAAGUUAAUUAAUCUGGAUCAUUGGAUUUCAAAAAAUAAAAAAAUCCAAUAGCCUAAAAAUGGACAUGUGACCCAUGGUAAGAUUCUGAUAUUUUUUUUAAUGCUGGAACGCACACCUACGCAAGCGUGUAUCCCACGGGCCAACAGCAAAAAAAAAAAUUCACAUGGCUGACGUCAGCUUGGCCUCAUGUAGGCCGGUCUAUUGCUCAGUCCAUUAUGUGUUGGGCUCAAAGGUGGCCUCCACUUUGGGCCAACCUAUUGGGUGGGGUGAAGUUGGUUUUUUUUUUUUUUGGGGGGGGGGGGGCAGCCUAAAAAUUAGACUUUGAGCUAGCACAUUUGUUAGGGAUGAAAUGCUCUAAUAGAAAAAAUGUUAGGCUUAUCAUAUUUUUAAUAUUUCAUGUGUAUAACAUUUUUAAUAAAUAUGGGAUCUACAGUGUUAUUUGCACACUAAUUUUUAUCUCUCACAUAUUCUUGUUAAUUUUUAUUGACUCAUCUUCUUCAAUUCAUAUUGUCGACCGAAAAUUAAGAGGAGUGCGUGAGAAGAAAAAUGAGUGUGUAGAUAACGCUAUUGUAUAAAAAAUUUGAUAAAUAUAGUAUUUACUCUUAUGAUAGAGAUAGGGUUACGUGUUUGGUAUAUAUACGAGUACAAUGAAGCCAUGACAUUUGUAGUGGUGAUUGGUUACAUUGGUAUACUUGAGAUGUGAGGCAAAUUUAUUACCAUCACAAAGAUAAUUAUGAAACUUAUGGGCCUUCUAUUUUACUAAAAAUUGACCUCCAUCGUCCAUAUAUGAAACUUAAACUUGGAGAAAGAUCGUAUACGUUUUAUGAAAGGUUUUUUUAUCUGACAUGGAAUGAGAUAUGGUUUUCUUAACUAAGAUGUGAAAGACAAAAUUAUUCCCAUCACAAAGAUAAUUAUGGAACAUGGGCCUUAUAUUCUACUAAAAUUUGACAUAUUAACUACAUUUUACUAGAAAGAUGUACAUAAAGUUAUACCCAUUUUGGGAAAGUUAUCUAAUUUGACAGAGAAAAUCGAUAAUUUCAAAUGUGUCAAGACGUGUGAUUAUCUCUGUUUAAUUAUAAAUUGGAGGUAGAGAAAAAUGGCAGCACUUUAAUUGUAGUGUGUUUGAAUAGUUGAUCAAGGUAUCGGCAGAGAAAUAUCGAGUUGAAUUGUAGGUAUUCAACUACCAGCAAGACAACCAUGGAUCCAUGGGUGUGACUAGCAGUUGGUGCAUAUGAUGGACACGUUUUACCACUAACAGACGAAACACCAUGUCUGUAUCUACAUAGCUUUCUAUCCUUUCUCCACGUACUUCUGCACCCCAUUAACAAAAAGGCAAAUUAAAAUAUAUUAUACAAAAGUAGACCUAACUUUAAUGCUUUAUCCACUCCUAUAAAAUCUACAUAAUCGUCGAGUUCCAACACACUUCAGAACAAUAUAUCCACUUAUAGUUGCAGGGAACUAAGAAAAAAAAGAAGAUCGACUGAGAAACAUGCCUGACCAUCCACCACCACCACCGGGCCAUGAUCACGGACCCCCUCAUCCUGAGCCUCCUCCGCCGCACGCCCAUGCUCCUCCUCCUCCUCAGCCGGGCGGUGGACCUCACGCACCUCCCCCUGGCCCUCCUGAACCACACAAGCCACAUCAUGAUCCCCAUCAUGGUCCCCAUCAUGGUCCUGGUCAUCACCACCCAUGAAUCAUCAUUCAUCGUAUGAUGAAUAUAUACAUGCUUGCAUGCAUGUAUGUAGAUGUAUGGUGUACGUUGUGAUGUAAUUUCUAGUUUUAACUAAGUCGGUGAGUCCUCUCAUGAUCAUGCAGUUUUAAUGAAUGAUGACUUCGUGUACCCAAAAAGUAUGCAUGAUUAUGUAAAUUAAUAAGAUCGGUUUGUGGUUUUAAUUUCCUCUUAAUUAAUUAGUUAAUUUGGUACGCACUGAGCUGCUGAUCAAAGUGUGGUUUAAGAUGCAAAAUUUCCAUUCCUUUCAUGUUUUAAUUAAGAUGCAAAUCUAAUUACAAACAAAUACGCUGCAACUAACUAAAAACCCUACGUGCAGCAGGCCAUGGAUAAUUUUUGGUCUUUAAUUCGAUCUUUUACUUUAGAUAAAUGUCUAAUUUAAUUGCUGCAAAAGCUAGCUUCUGAAGUAUGAUCAGUGUUAAGAAACAAAUAAAAUUAAGAUAUAUAUCAUCAUUAUAAUUAAAUUUUCUGAUGUAGGAGAACAAAUGAAAUAUGCGUAUAUUGUCGGUGCGUAAUCCGCACUAAUAAUACAACGUUAAAUAAAAAUAUGUAUGUAUUAUUGUAUUAUACAAAUGUAAUGCCACAGUAAGGUUAUUUCCAACCGAAUGAGGGCCAAAAUGCUAUCUUUAGCUCUAUAGUCUUGCAAGAAAUUAUAUUUUAAUGAAUAGUGCUAUGCUAUAUUUUAUACAUCUCAAACU
rnacentral:lncRNA from 1 species